CCCCUGCUCGCAUCAACAGUGCUUUCCCCCUAGAGGUGUCUACAUCAUUCCUGCUGAUUUGCUGAUCCUAGGGAUGCUACUAAUGUUUCCAGAAGUCCCCAAUGUAGAGAGAAAAAAGAUGGUUCUGAUAACAAUGCUAAUAUUGGUGGUCCAAUUGGUAGCCAUAUUUAUUUUAGCAGAAAGUUGUUAUUGAGAGCUGUCAUUGAUUGGUUCUCACACAAACAUUGUAAUGUGUAUAGAACAGAGAAUAAUUCCCUAUAAAAUAAAAAAAUACUGUCACUUGAAAACAUCAAGGUGGUAGACACAGUAGAAAAUGCUUAAUUGGUAUAAUGUUGCUUAUCAGAUAAAGAGCCUGGUGCUUUCAUGCCAGUGCUGGACUGAUCCUAAACAAAACAUAUGUAGUACACCAAUAUUUCCAUUGAAGACAGCACACGGUAGUAGCUCCAAAAUAAUGCUUUAGUUAAAUAAUGAAAAAGUGCACAAUUUAUUAAAAAAUAGAUAGUGAAAAAAUUUAACAAAAAUGGCAACAACUAGUAGCCCACCAAAUAAGAUGUUACCUCCAAUAUGUGCAUCAAAAGCAAGUGUGCAACUCACGUGCACAUUAAAAUCGGUGGAAAUGAAACACCCUGCAUUCAAAAGGAAAAAAUAAUAAAUAAAUAAAAAAGAGGGGAGCAGGAUAAGGCAAAAGGCAGCUGGAGAUAGCAAAAUGUAAUAGGAGGGAGAAAUAAAAGAGACACUGAAGAGGGUCCCAGCAAACCUUCAAGGAGGUCCUGGGCGAGAUUCGUGCCUGUCUUGGCACUUUCUUAGAACGGACCUCGGAUGAAAAGACAUCUUAUUAGGUGGGCUACUAGUUGUUACCAUUUUUGUUGGUAUGAAGUGUGUUAGUAUAAAGUGUUUUUGACUUAGAACCACUGUCAUUGUCAAAGUAGAUUCUUCUGCAAAACCAGAAGCAUGGGCUUUGGCCCAUGACCAUCCGGCAUGACCCAGUGGUUAAGGUUGCAUUAAGCUUUAACUCUAACGUUGGUACACCCAGUGCCCAACAUCUCUUCCUCCUCUAGUAUAAAAAUAUUAUUUCUCUAAAUCAGCGAGAGGCAUGGGGGUGCAACUUAAGAGUUAAACUAUCAGAAAACCUUUUAACCCCAGAAGAUAAGAUGGUAUGAAGGGUAUCAAACUGCAUACCUAUAGGAAUCUCUGCGCUGGAAACAGACAAAGAGACAAUGUGCCAUGUUUACUAAACAGUGCUAAGUCACAAGCGACACACAAUAAAGACAUUAUAUCUCAUUAGCUGAAGCAUGACCUGUUUGUUGUUUAUCAAAAAUUUGCAUCUGACCCUUAAAAAUCAGACAGCUUUCAACAGAGACACCCAAAGUGAGGCUUUUAGAUCCCUCUUUUUAAAUCACAUUUUAAACUAUGAACAGUUUAUACCCUGAUGUCAUUAACAGACAAAACAAUAUUUAACAAUAAAACUCUUCACAAUUUAGGCAAUACUCAAGAUUGCCUUUGUCUUGACAAAAUAGAUUUUCCGUCUUUCUUUUCUAUUAAAUAAGAAGAUAUUAG
rnacentral:lncRNA from 1 species